rnacentral:lncRNA from 1 species
CACAGAGAAAGGACGUAAUUUGGUUGACUCUUUUUGAUUCAAGGACCUUGGAGGGCUGAGGUCCAAGCAGUGUCAGAGGCUUGAUGAGAAUUAAAAAAAAAUCUGGAAUUUCCAGCCCCCCUCACCAGAGGAGUGCGGAUACCACUGAUCAGAUGGAAGGCUUUGUUUUGGAAGGCAGCUGUGUGACAAGCAGGCUGAACAUGGGCACUCCUUUUGCCAAUGAGUGUACCGGAACACCAGGAAGCUGGGUGCAAAAUCAAAGCAACUCUUCCCAUUUUAUUUUUUAAUUUUAAUUUUGUAGAGAUGAGGUUUCUCUAUAUUGCCCUGGCUGGUCUCAAGCUCCUGAGCUCAAGCAAUCCUCCCACCUCCGCCUCCCAAAGACUUCUCAUUUUGAAGUUUUUGAUGUAAGGACCCCAUUAAGUGGAAUUAAAUAAAAACAUAUUUUAAGAAAAAGUAGAAGAGACAAUGGUAUAAAGGUUUAAGAAACACACACACACAUAUGGACAUAUUGAACUGCAUUAGUAUGUUUAAAAAAUGUAUUUUGACCUAUUUCAAACAAAUCACACUCUGAUAACUUUAGAGAUUUCUAGGCUUAAUUUCUGUGUCAUUAUAGCAAUUAAAG